CCUACGGGAGGCAGCAGUGGGGAAUUGUUCGCAAUGGGCGAAAGCCUGACGACGCAACGCCGCGUGGAGGAUGAAGGUCUUCGGAUUGUAAACUCCUGUUGCUCGGGACGAAUAGCUUCAACCUAAUACGUUGAGGUCUGACGGUACCGAGUGAGGAAGCCCCGGCUAACUCUGUGCCAGCAGCCGCGGUAAUACAGAGGGGGCAAGCGUUGUUCGGAAUUACUGGGCGUAAAGGGCGCGUAGGCGGCCCGCUACGUCGAACGUGAAAUCCCCGGGCUCAACCCGGGAACUGCGUCCGAUACUGGUGGGCUUGAAUCCGGGAGAGGGAUGUGGAAUUCCAGGUGUAGCGGUGAAAUGCGUAGAUAUCUGGAGGAACACCGGUGGCGAAGGCGGCAUCCUGGACCGGCAUUGACGCUGAGGCGCGAAAGCCAGGGGAGCAAACGGGAUUAGAUACCCCGGUAGUCCUGGCCCUAAACGAUGAAUGCUUGGUGUGGCGGGUAUCGAUCCCUGCCGUGCCGAAGCUAACGCAUUAAGCAUUCCGCCUGGGGAUACGGUCGCAAGGCUGAACUCAAAGGAAUUGACGG
rnacentral:rRNA from 1 species